rnacentral:rRNA from 1 species
UACGUAGGGUGCGAGCGUUGUCCGGAAUUAUUGGGCGUAAAGGGCUCGUAGGCGGUCCAUCGCGUCGGGAGUGAAAAGCUGGGGCUUAACCCCAGUCCUGCUUUCGAUACGGGUGGACUAGAGGUAGGCAGGGGAGAAUGGAAUUCCCGGUGUAGCGGUGAAAUGCGCAGAUAUCGGGAGGAACACCAAUGGCGAAGGCAGCUCGCUGGGACGUUACUGACGCUGAGACGCGAAAGCGUGGGGAGCAAACAGG